GACGAACGCUGGCGGCGUGCUUAACACAUGCAAGUCGAACGGGACGUUCCGGUUUUGUUGCGCUCGGGUGCGUAACGCGGGGGAAGUUUCACUUAGGUUCGGAAUAACUGCCCGUAAGGGGAGUUAAUAACGGUGAAUGUACUCCGACAAAAGAUUUCUCGCUUUUGGAUGGGCCCUCGUUGGAUUAGCUGGUUGGUAGGGUAAUAGCCUACCAAGGCGUCGAUGCAUAGCUGGUCUGAGAGGAUGAACAGCCACACUGGGACUGAGACACGGCCCAGACUCCUACGGGAGGCAGCAGUAGGGAAUAUUGGGCAAUGGGCGAAAGCCUGACCCAGCAAUGCCGCGUGAGAGAGGAAGGGCUUAGGAUUGUAAAUCUCUGUUACCCGGGAUGAUAAUGACAGUACUGGGAGAAGAAGCUCCGGCUAACUACGUG
rnacentral:rRNA from 1 species